rnacentral:rRNA from 1 species
ACCUAAGGCCAUACNAUCCUGAGAACUUCUGAACUCAUCUGAUCUUGGAAGCUAAGCAGGAUCAGGUUCNGGUCUUGUCUAAGGUU